UGAAUACGAGAUACUACGGUGUCGAAGCAGUCUAUGUCAUACUUCCAAGAAAAGCUUGCACUGUCAUAAACAAAUAAUGCCUGUACCAUAACCGACACAGGUGGGUAGGUAGAGUAUACUAAGGGGCGCGAGAUAACUCUCUCUAAGGAACUCGGCAAAAUGACUCCGUAACUUCGGGAGAAGGAGUGCCUUAUAUUUAUAAGGUUGCAAUAACAAGAUCCAAGCAACUGUUUAUCAAAAACACAGGUCUCCGCUAAGUCGUAAGACGAUGUAUGGGGGCUGACGCCUGCCCAGUGCCAGAAGGUUAAAGAAGUUGGUUAGCUUUUGCGAAGCUGAUAACUGAAGCCCUGGUGAACGGCGGCCGUAACAAUAACGGUCCUAAGGUGGCGAAAUUCCUUGUCGGGUAAGUUCCGACCCGCACGAAAGGCGUAAUGAUUUGGAUACUGUCUCGGAGAGGGACUCGGUGAAAUAGACUUGUCUGUGAAGAUGCAGACUACUUGCACCAGGACAGAAAGGCCCUAUGAAGCUUUACUGUAACCUGAAAUUGAAAUUGGACUUUACUUGCGCAGGAUAGGUGGGAGGCUUUGAGAAUAUUCUUGCGGGAAUAUUGGAGCCAUCAGUGAGAUACCACUCUGGUAAUGUUAGAUUUCUAACUUUGUAUCAUUAUCUGGUCAAAGAACAGUUUCAGGCGGGCAGUUUGACUGGGGCGGUCGCCUCCUAAACGGUAACGGAGGCGCACAAAGGUUUCCUCUGAACGGGUAGAAAUCGUAUCUAGAGUGUAAAGGCAUAAGGAAGCUUGACUGUGAGACCUACGAGUCGAGCAGGGACGAAAGUCGGUCUUAGUGAUCUGACGGUGCUGAGUGGAAAGGCCGUCACUCAACGGAUAAAAGUUACUCUAGGAUAACAGGCUGAUCUCCCCCAAGAGUUCACAUCGACGGGGAGGUUUGGCACCUCGAUGUCGGCUCAUCGCAUCCUGGGGCGGUAGUACGUCCCAAGGGUUGGGCUGUUCGCCCAUGAAAGCGGUACGCGAGCUGGGUUCAGAACGUCGUGAGACAGUUCGGUCCAUAUCCGGUGUAAGCGUUAGAAUAUUGAGAGGAGCCUUCUUUAGUACGAGAGGACCGAGAAGGAUGCACCGCUGGUGUACCAGUUAUUGUGCCAACAGUAAACGCUGGGUAGCUAUGUGUGGAGUGGAUAACCGCUGAAAGCAUCUAAGUGGGAAGCCCACCUCAAGAUAAG
rnacentral:rRNA from 1 species